CACAGAGGUCUCAAGCGUUGUUCGGAUUCAUUGGGCGUAAAGGGUGUGUAGGUGGCGCCGUAAGUCGGGUGUGAAAUCUCGGGGCUUAACUCCGAAACUGCAUUCGAUACUGCGGUGCUUGAGGACUGGAGAGGAGACUGGAAUUCAUGGUGUAGCAGUGAAAUGCGUAGAGAUCAUGAGGAAGACCAGUGGCGAAGGCGGGUCUCUGGACAGUUCCUGACACUGAGACACGAAGGCCAGGGGAGCAAACGGG
rnacentral:rRNA from 1 species